GCGUCGGUGGUACAUAACGGUUAGCAUAGCUGCCUUCCAAGCAGUUGACCCGGGUUCGACACCGGCCGACGCA